rnacentral:rRNA from 1 species
GACGAACGUUGGCGGCGUGCUUAACACAUGCAAGUCGAACGGAAAGGCCCUGCUUUUGUGGGGUGCUCGAGUGGCGAACGGGUGAGUAACACGUGAGUAACCUGCCCUUGACUUUGGGAUGACUUCAGGAAACUGGGGCUAAUACCGGAUAGGAGCUCCUGCUGCAUGGUGGGGGUUGGAAAGUUUCGGCGGUUGGGGAUGGACUCGCGGCUUAUCAGCUUGUUGGUGGGGUAGUGGCUUACCAAGGCUUUGACGGGUAGCCGGCCUGAGAGGGUGACCGGCCACAUUGGGACUGAGAUACGGCCCAGACUCCUACGGGAGGCAGCAGUGGGGAAUAUUGCACAAUGGGCGGAAGCCUGAUGCAGCAACGCCGCGUGCGGGAUGACGGCCUUCGGGUUGUAAACCGCUUUCGCCUGUGACGAAGCGUGAGUGACGGUAAUGGGUAAAGAAGCACCGGCUAACUACGUGCCAGCAGCCGCGGUGAUACGUAGGGUGCGAGCGUUGUCCGGAUUUAUUGGGCGUAAAGGGCUCGUAGGUGGUUGAUCGCGUCGGAAGUGUAAUCUUGGGGCUUAACCCUGAGCGUGCUUUCGAUACGGGUUGACUUGAGGAAGGUAGGGGAGAAUGGAAUUCCUGGUGGAGCGGUGGAAUGCGCAGAUAUCAGGAGGAACACCAGUGGCGAAGGCGGUUCUCUGGGCCUUUCCUGACGCUGAGGAGCGAAAGCGUGGGGAGCGAACAGGCUUAGAUACCCUGGUAGUCCACGCUGUAAACGGUGGGUACUAGGUGUGGGGUCCAUUCCACGGGUUCCGUGCCGUAGCUAACGCUUUAAGUACCCCGCCUGGGGAGUACGGCCGCAAGGCUAAAACUCAAAGGAAUUGACGGGGCCCCGCACAAGCGGCGGAGCAUGCGGAUUAAUUCGAUGCAACGCGUAGAACCUUACCUGGGUUUGACAUGGAUCGGGAGUGCUCAGAGAUGGGUGUGCCUCUUUUGGGGUCGGUUCACAGGUGGUGCAUGGCUGUCGUCAGCUCGUGUCGUGAGAUGUUGGGUUAAGUCCCGCAACGAGCGCAACCCUUGUUCACUGUUGCCAGCACGUUAUGGUGGGGACUCAGUGGAGACCGCCGGGGUCAACUCGGAGGAAGGUGGGGAUGACGUCAAGUCAUCAUGCCCCUUAUGUCCAGGGCUUCACGCAUGCUACAAUGGCUGGUACAGAGAGUGGCGAGCCUGUGAGGGUGAGCGAAUCUCGGAAAGCCGGUCUCAGUUCGGAUUGGGGUCUGCAACUCGACCUCAUGAAGUCGGAGUCGCUAGUAAUCGCAGAUCAGCAACGCUGCGGUGAAUACGUUCCCGGGGC